rnacentral:tRNA from 1 species
GGACAUGUAGCUCAUUGGUAGAGGGACCGGACAGAGGGCCGGGGGUAGUUGGUUCGAUUCCAACCUUGUCCAC